AUUGAACGCUGGCGGCAGGCCUAACACAUGCAAGUCGAACGAGUGGCGGACGGGUGAGUAACGUCUGGGAAACUGCCUGAUGGAGGGGGAUAACUACUGGAAACGGUAGCUAAUACCGCAUACCAUCAGAUGUGCCCAGAUGGGAUUAGCUAGUUGGUGGGGUAACGGCUCACCAAGGAGACGAUCCCUAGCUGGUCUGAGAGGAUGACCAGCCACACUGGAACUGAGACACGGUCCGGACUCCUACGGGAGGCAGCAGUGGGGAAUAUUGCAAAAUGGGCGCAGGCCUGAUGCAGCCAUGCCGCGUGUAUGAAGAGGGCCUUCAGGUUGUAAAGUACUUUCAGCGGGGAGGCGUUACCCGCAGAAGAAGCGCCGGCUAACUCCGUGCCAGCAGCCGCGGUAGUUC
rnacentral:rRNA from 1 species